rnacentral:rRNA from 1 species
CAUGCAAGUCGAACGGGAUCCGGACUUCGGUUCGGUGAGAGUGGCGGACGGGUGAGUAACGCGUGGGAACCUGCCCAGUGGUGGGGGAUAACUGCGGGAAACUGCAGCUAAUACCGCAUGAGCCCGAGAGGGGAAAGAUUUAUCGCCAUUGGAGGGGCCCGCGUUCGAUUAGGUAGUUGGUGAGGUAAUGGCUCACCAAGCCUUCGAUCGAUAGCUGGUCUGAGAGGAUGAUCAGCCACACUGGGACUGAGAUACGGCCCAGACUCCUACGGGAGGCAGCAGUGGGGAAUAUUGGACAAUGGGGGAAACCCUGACCCAGCGACGCCGCGUGGGGGAUGAAGGCCUUCGGGUUGUAAACCCCUGUCGGUGGGACGAACAUUUUCCCAUCAAUAGUGGGAAAAUCUGACGGUACCACCAGAGUAAGCCCCGGCUAACUCCGUGCCAGCAGCCGCGGUAAUACGGAGGGGGCAAGUGUUGUUCGGAAUUACUGGGCGUAAAGGGCGCGCAGGCGGCUUGGCAAGUCGAGUGUGAAAUACCUCAGCUUAACUGAGGAAUGGCGCUCGAAACUACCUCGCUAGAGGGCGGGAGAGGGAAGUGGAACUCUCGGUGUAGGGGUGAAAUCUGUAGAUAUCGAGAGGAACACCGGUGGCGAAGGCGGCUUCCUGGCCCGUACCUGACGCUGA